UACAGAGGGUGCGAGCGUUAAUCGGAAUUACUGGGCGUAAAGCGCGCGUAGGCGGCUUUGCAAGUCGGGUGUGAAAUCCCCAGGCUUAACCUGGGAACUGCAUUCGAGACUGCAUUGCUAGAGUAUGGGAGAGGGAAGUGGAAUUUCCGGUGUAGCGGUGAAAUGCGUAGAUAUCGGGAAGAACACCCGUGGCGAAGGCGGCUCUCUGGGACGGUACUGACGCUGAGACGCGAAAGCGUGGGGAGCGAACAGG
rnacentral:rRNA from 1 species